rnacentral:rRNA from 1 species
GAUGAACGCUGGCGGCGUGCCUAAUACAUGCAAGUCGAGCGAACGGACGAGAAGCUUGCUUCUCUGAUGUUAGCGGCGGACGGGUGAGUAACACGUGGAUAACCUACCUAUAAGACUUGGAUAACUUCGGGAAACCGGAGCUAAUACCGGAUAAUAUUUUGAACCGCAUGGUUCAAAAGUGAAAGACGGUCUUGCUGUCACUUAUAGAUUGAUCCGCGCUGCAUUAGCUAGUUGGUAAGGUAACGGCUUACCAAGGCAACGAUGCAUAGCCGACCUGAGAGCGUGAUCGGCCACCCUGGAACUGAGAAACGGUCCAGACUCCUACGGGAGGAAGCAGUAGGGAAUCUUACGCAAUGGGCGAAAGCCUGACGGAGCAAAGCCGCGUGAGGGAUGAAGGUCUUAGGAUCGUAAAACUAUGUUAUUAGGGAAGAACAUAUGUGUAAGUAACUGUGAACAUCAUGACGGUACCGAAUCAGAAAGCCACGGCUAACUACGUG